rnacentral:rRNA from 1 species
AUUGAACGCUGGCGGCAGGCCUAACACAUGCAAGUCGAACGAGUGGCGGACGGGUGAGUAAUGUCUGGGAAACUGCCUGAUGGAGGGGGAUAACUACUGGAAACGGUAGCUAAUACCGCAUACCAUCGGAUGUGCCCAGAUGGGAUUAGCUAGUCGGUGGGGUAAAGGCUCACCUAGGCGACGAUCCCUAGCUGGUCUGAGAGGAUGACCAGCCACACUGGAACUGAUACACGGUCCAGACUCCUACGGUAGGCAGCAGUGGGGAAUAUUGGACAAUGGGCGAAAGCCUGAUCCAGCCAUGCCGCGUGUGUGAAGAAGGUCUUCGGAUUGUAAAGUACUGUCAGCGGGGAGGCGUUACCAACAGAAUAAGCACCGGCUAACUCCGUGCCAGCAGCCGCGGUAAUUC